UCUCUUAGGCUUUGAGAAUUUUGGGGUCUGGUUCUGCAGAAGAAGAAAAAAAUUGCAAAAAAUUGCGUUUGUGAGUUCCCAACUGCAUGCUGCGAACCUUCGCCGAGCUGUACGAGCAUCAUGAGCGUUUAGUUGCGAAGGAAGCGCCAAACGAGCUGUACGCAAAAAUCGUGAAAAGCUGAUCAGCCAACAAACCGGAACUACGGAACGUUCUCGAACUAAGCAAGCGGAAGCAUCUGUAGUGCAACGAGGAUACCCUUUAUGAGCGUUAGUGCACGUGCAGUUUCUGUGCAUUAAAAGUGAAAUGGAUCGAAUUAUCGAAUUAGCAACCAUGGCAAUGUUUUUGAUGUGUUGUGCGUGCUUGGUAUCUCUAUGAUAUGGCGAAGAAUCCCAGACCAGGAACUGGUUUUUAGCAUCGAUUUCACCAUCAAUCGAAAUAGUGAAAAUGUUCGCUUCGUGGAUGACCGCGAUGAAAGGCUUUGGCGACCAGAAUGGUGGUGGUGGUAUUGGUGGAAAUCAACCUCAGGAAGGUGGUCAAUAUGAUGGCGCUUAGCAUACCGAGUUGGACAUCAGGGAAGUUUUCCAUAUGGCGAAAGGAACGUGUACACAGCUGGCCACAGAGUGAUGAGCACGAUUAGACCAUGGAUUCGAGGAACAAGACAACUUGGAGCUGUGGCGUACUGCAAGCGAUGAGUAAUCAGCGACAGAACAAAAAGCAGAAGUGCCUGGACCGCCUGUAUGACUCUCGUUUUUUUAAGGUCUUAACAGUACAGCAAUAAAGGAAGGUUACGCUUAUCACUCUAA